UAGUAAUAAAUAUUCAUAUGAGAACUUUGAAGGUCGAAGAAGGGAAAUGUUUCAUGUCAAUGACACUUGCACGUGGGUUUGUUGAUCCUAAGAGACAGGGGAAGCCCAUUAGAAAGCAUGAUAAGUGGAAGUUUUAAAAGGGAAUCAGGUUAAAAUUCCUGAACUAGGAUGUGGUGGUUGACGGUAAUGUUAGGGAGUCUAGAGACGUCAGAGGGGGCCUCGGAAAAAGUUAUCUUUUUUGUUUAAUGGCCUGUCCACCUUGGAAUCAGCUCAAUCAGAGGUAGGGGUCUAGUGGCUGGAAGAUCCCCUAUGUGCAUGUGCAUGCAUGUGCGCACACCGUGGCCCAACAUGCGUGUGCACACAUGGCCGACUGCACAUGGUGUCCCUGUGUGUGUGUGCACCCAUGACCAACUGCUC
rnacentral:ncRNA from 1 species